rnacentral:rRNA from 1 species
GACGAACGCUGGCGGCGUGCUUAACACAUGCAAGUCGAACGGUAAGGCCCUUCGGGGUACACGAGUGGCGAACGGGUGAGUAACACGUGGGUGAUCUGCCCUGCACUUCGGGAUAAGCCUGGGAAACUGGGUCUAAUACCGGAUAGGACCCUGGGAUGCAUGUCCUGGGGUGGAAAGCUUUUGCGGUGUGGGAUGGGCCCGCGGCCUAUCAGCUUGUUGGUGGGGUGAUGGCCUACCAAGGCGACGACGGGUAGCCGGCCUGAAAGGGUGACCGGCCACACUGGGACUGAGAUACGGCCCAGACUCCUACGGGAGGCAGCAGUGGGGAAUAUUGCACAAUGGGCGCAAGCCUGAUGCAGCGACGCCGCGUGAGGGAUGACGGCCUUCGGGUUGUAAACCUCUUUCAGCACCGACGAAGCGCAAGUGACGGUAGGUGCAGAAGAAGGACCGGCCAACUACGUGCCAGCCGCCGCCGUAAAAC